UAGGGAAUCUUCCGCAAUGGGCGAAAGCUUGACGGAGCAACGCCGCGUGAGUGAUGAAGGUCUUCGGAUCGUAAAACUCUGUUAUUAGGGAAGAACAAAUGUGUAAGUAACUAUGCACGUCUUGACGGUACCUAAUCAGAAAGCCACGGCUAACUACGUGCCAGCAGCCGCGGUAAUACGUAGGUGGCAAGCGUUAUCCGGAAUUAUUGGGCGUAAAGCGCGCGUAGGCGGUUUUUUAAGUCUGAUGUGAAAGCCCACGGCUCAACCGUGGAGGGUCAUUGGAAACUGGAAAACUUGAGUGCAGAAGAGGAAAGUGGAAUUCCAUGUGUAACGGUGAAAUGCGCAGAGAUAUGGAGGAACACCAGUGGCGAAGGCGACUUUCUGGACACAAACUGACGCUGAGGUACGAAAGCGUGGGGAGCAAACAGG
rnacentral:rRNA from 1 species